rnacentral:rRNA from 1 species
GACAGAGGGUGCAAACGUUGUUCGGAAUUACUGGGCGUAAAGCGCGUGUAGGCGGCCGGGUGUGUCGGAUGUGAAAUCCCGUGGCUCAACCACGGAAGUGCACCCGAAACUACCCAGCUCGAGUCUCGGAGAGGAAGGUGGAAUGCUUGGUGUAGAGGUGAAAUUCGUAGAUAUCAAGCGGAACACCGGUGGCGAAGGCGGCCUUCUGGACGAUGACUGACGCUGAGACGCGAAAGCGUGGGGAGCAAACAGG